GUGCUAGGCGUAGCGUUACCAUGCAGUCGAGCGGGGAAGAGUAGCUUGCUACCUGACCUAGCGGCGGACGGGUGAGUAAUGCUUAGGAAUCUGCCUAUUAGUGGGGGACAACAUCUCGAAAGGGAUGCUAAUACCGCAUACGUCCUACGGGAGAAAGCAGGGGACCUUCGGGCCUUGCGCUAAUAGAUGAGCCUAAGUCGGAUUAGCUAGUUGGUGGGGUAAAGGCCUACCAAGGCGACGAUCUGUAGCGGGUCUGAGAGGAUGAUCCGCCACACUGGGACUGAGACACGGCCCAGACUCCUACGGGAGGCAGCAGUGGGGAAUAUUGGACAAUGGGGGGAACCCUGAUCCAGCCAUGCCGCGUGUGUGAAGAAGGCCUUUUGGUUGUAAAGCACUUUAAGCGAGGAGGAGGCUACCGAGAUUAAUACUCUUGGAUAGUGGACGUUACUCGCAGAAUAAGCACCGGCUAACUCUGUGCCAGCAGCCGCGGUAAUACAGAGGGUGCAAGCGUUAAUCGGAUUUACUGGGCGUAAAGCGCGCGUAGGUGGCCAAUUAAGUCAAAUGUGAAAUCCCCGAGCUUAACUUGGGAAUUGCAUUCGAUACUGGUUGGCUAGAGUAUGGGAGAGGAUGGUAGAAUUCCAGGUGUAGCGGUGAAAUGCGUAGAGAUCUGGAGGAAUACCGAUGGCGAAGGCAGCCAUCUGGCCUAAUACUGACACUGAGGUGCGAAAGCAUGGGGAGCAAACAGGAUUAGAUACCCUGGUAGUCCAUGCCGUAAACGAUGUCUACUAGCCGUUGGGGCCUUUGAGGCUUUAGUGGCGCAGCUAACGCGAUAAGUAGACCGCCUGGGGAGUACGGUCGCAAGACUAAAACUCAAAUGAAUUGACGGGGGCCCGCACAAGCGGUGGAGCAUGUGGUUUAAUUCGAUGCAACGCGAAGAACCUUACCUGGUCUUGACAUAGUAAGAACUUUCCAGAGAUGGAUUGGUGCCUUCGGAAACUUACAUACAGGUGCUGCAUGACUGUCGUCAGCUCGUGUCGUGAGAAUGUUGGGGUUAAGUCCCGCAACGAGCGCAACCAUUUCCUUAUUUGGCCAGCGGCUAGCGGUUACCUUUCAGGAAUACUGACAGUGACAACUGAGAACGCGGGAUCGACGGUCAGUCAUUCAUGUUCCGUUAACGAAACCAAGGAC
rnacentral:rRNA from 1 species